rnacentral:rRNA from 1 species
AAGGGACGAGUCGGCGGCAAAGUCGGAGGAAGGUGGGGAUGACGUCAAAUCAUCAUGCCCCUUAUGACCUGGGCUACACACGUGCUACAAUGGGCGGUACAAAGGGUCGCGAACCCGCGAGGGGGAGCCAAUCCCAAAAAGCCGCUCUCAGUUCGGAUUGCAGGCUGCAACUCGCCUGCAUGAAGCCGGAAUCGCUAGUAAUCGCGGAUCAGCAUGCCGCGGUGAAUACGUUCCCGGGCCUU